rnacentral:rRNA from 1 species
CAGAGGAUCCUCAUCGUUUACUGUGAAAAAAUUAGAGUGUUCAAAGCAGGCUUACGCCUUGAAUAUAUUAGCAUGGAAUAAUAAGAUAGGACCUGGGUACUAUUUUGUUGGUUUGCGCACCGAGGUAAUGAUUAAUAGGGACAGUUGGGGGUAUUCGUAUUCCAUUGUCAGAGGUGAAAUUCUUGGAUUUUUGGAAGACGAACUACUGCGAAAGCAUUUACCAAGGAUGUUUUCAUUAAUCAAGAACGAAAGUUAGGGGAUCGAAGAUGAUUAGAUACCAUCGUAGUCUUAACCAUAAACUAUGCCGACAAGGGAUUGGCGGUUGUUCGUUUUGACUCCGUCAGCACCUUAUGAGAAAUCACAAGUCUUUGGGUUCCGGGGGGAGUAUGGUCGCAAGGCUGAAACUUAAAGGAAUUGACGG